AUGCAGUACUUGUUUCAGGAAGAAGAUGAGCCUCUCCGUUUAGGACUAGGAUUAUGGACUCUUAGCAUGAGUGGAAUAGGUGUGGUGCCUUUUUCCAUGAAUCCUUAUAAAGGUGCUUGUCUCCAGCGUGACACCUUCAAUUCUGCUCCUUGCCAUGGCUGUUUUUGGUGGGACACAGUAAAUAAGACCUAGCACCAGCAGGAUAAUUUGGAGUUCAAAUGAUCAUCUGAGAAGCCUGAUCUGGAUUCCUUACAAGUCACAUUGUGAACCCUGCUUCAGCAGAGAAGCAGAAAUCGGAGGUAAUCUUUUAAACCUCAAUGACUAUAGAAGGAAGCUUUAUUUUUAAUCUAAACGUUUUAGAUGGAUUGAAAGUUUCCUAUUUCAAGUGCUUUAAAAUGCGAAUGUUGCUGAAGGAAUGGCAGCUAUGAAUUUAGUUGCAAAUGGCAAGUUUUUUUAAAGGAUAAAGAAUAUCUUUGCAUUAUGGUUUUACAUAGCAUAAUUUUGGCUUAUCUUUACUUCUGAAAUAUAUUAUUUUUCUAGGGAAGGACAUACAUUUCAAACAUCUCAUAAUAUUAAACAAUGUUGAAGUGGUGAUAGAUAGAAAAGAAGAUGGAACAUAGUUUGAUUUUCUGUGUCCUUGAGUCAAUGUCCUUGAGCUUGGAGUAUCAAACAGAAUACUUAAGUAUUUGAGAGAAAUUAAACUGUGUUUGGGGAUAAAAGUUGUGAAUACGAGCUUUGCCCUACUUGAAAAUAGAUUAUGCUUCAGAAGUUUGUGUGUAAAUUAGUUGUUUGAAUGGAACAACUUUUUAUCAUGGACCUAUUUUUUUGCAAGUUAAAGUUAGGUUCCUAGGCAGAGCCCACAACAAGCUAUUUAAUGAAUAAUCACCAUCUUUUCAAAAGCAAGGAACUAAAACAUUGUUG
rnacentral:lncRNA from 1 species